ACCCUACAGCCCAGCACACCUUUGCUCUAUGGAAAGACUCUCUGGGGUCCCUCCACUCCCUAGUGACCAGGCGCUUCCAGGUGAGAGGUCAUGCUGCUCCUGCACUCCCAGCAGGGUCUCUGCUCUGACUCUGAACUUCUGCAUGCUCCAUGGUGCAUUCUGCAUACUGCUACAAGCACUCCCAGGCUGGUCUCCUUGGAAUACCUGCAACAUCUGGGAUGCUCCCUGCUGAGGGGGCACCUGUACACAUGUGUGAGUCUCCAUGGUCCACUUGCACCUGCAGUCAAGAAACCACAGGGCUGCUGCACUUCCUUUGCUCCUGUCUGUCCAGGUGUGUCUGCAAUUCUGAGUCACAUUCUGCAGGCACUUUUGUUUCCAGAUUAGACUCAUCUGUGCCUCGAAAGUCCCAUGAGUCUCUCUGAUGUGCUUCUGCAUCUCGGUCCCUGGGACAAUAUGUGAGUCACCUGACCCAUCUCAGCUUUCUAGGGCAAAUUCUCUGCUGGGUAUGCAUUUCCCAGUGAGACUACCUGGCCCAACUGUACUCCAUGUGAGAACUCCUGGUGCACAUGCAUUCUCAGGUGUGAGGUGACUCUAUUGUAUCCACCCUCUCAGGCCAGACACCUUGUAGGGCCUUUGCUCCAAGGUAAGUCUCCCUGGUAAAUCUCAAUGUUCAGAACAAAUGCCAAUGUACUUUCUCUUCUAGAUGAGCCUUGCUGUCGACAAUACACCCUUGAGUGAGCAUCCCAAAUUGACAUGCACACGUAGGCACCCUUCUGUACUGGGCCUCUGAAAUCAGACUGCAUUGAAUCCCGCCAUUAUAGCUGCACUGCUAUUGAACUUUCAUGUAAGAAUCUGUUGCACUCUCACAUCUAGGUGAUGUUUCCUGGUGUACACACACUUCAAACUGAGUACCCCUGUGCUGAUAAAGUCUCAGAUGAAACUUAAUGCUGCAACUUUACACACAGGAGAGAUUUCUGUGGUGCAAAUGCAGCUGACUCUGUUAUAUCUGCUUUCCAGAGACCCAGUCAUCUCGAUAGACCUCCAAGUCUGCCUGUGUCACGCUGUCAGUAGGACUUCAGGUCUGGCCGUGUCACACUGUCGUGCCUGCUAUAUCUCACAAGUCUCUCUAAAGCUAUUUUAGGUCAAUUUGAGACCCUCGGGUGUGUAGUGACUUUCAGAUGUGAUCCUGUUGCACAAAUACCUGCACGAGAAACAUCCUGGUGUUCUGGGGCUCAGAGAUGAGAGUGACACUCCUUGGUUUACCUGCACGUGCUGAUGAGGACGAGGGGCACUUGCACAUCCAAGUGCUGUACCCUGACCCUCCUCUGCUUCUGUGUGACACAUCCUGCAGCAGCUUCCUUCUGAUGUGAGAGUUGGUGGUACACAUGCCCUCCAGGUGAGUCACACUCAUGAUUGACAAUUCACACACUGUGCAAGCAUGCAGUCCCCCAGAAUUCUGCGUUUCUAGUUGACUUUCUUUGUGCACAUGGACUACUAGGUGAUCUUAGCUGAGUUAAGAUGGUUCCCCUGCACUUCUAGCUGAGUUUCCUUGCAGAACCCGAAGUCCCCACUUACACUCUCUGGAAACAAUGACCCACCAGAUGAACAACUGCAAUAGAUACAAACAGAACAUGCCGUCAUUAUGUGCUCUUUACACUUUAAUUACCCUUUAGUGCAAUUAAAUCACAGUAUUUUGGUGUUUUACCUUCAUCUCUUCCUUUUCCCAUAGAUAACUUUCCUCGUCUAGAUCCAAGUUUUUUUAAACUACUGCUUCUGCCUAGAGAAUGUUUUGCAGAAUUUCUAGAAGAGGGGUCUUCUGGUGGUCUAGUUUGAUAUUUGGAGCUGUGAUGAAACAUUGCAAAAGUUAGCUUGUGUAGGAAAGCAGUUAUUUCAUCUUAUACACCCAGGUCACAAUUCUUCAUCAAGGGAGGUUGGGUCAGGAUUCAAAGCAGAAACCCAGAGGUGAGAAGUAAAGCAGAGAAGUUGGAGUGAAGCUGCUAACAGGCUAUUGAGUGCAUCUCCAUUCGGGUAGGUAUUUGAUACAGCUCAGAACCACCUGCCCAGUGAUGGAACCAUUCACUGUGGGCUGGAACCUCCACAACACCUAUUGUCAAUCUGUGGGACUUGACCACUUUGCUUGGAGUCAACAACCCUUUCACAGGAGUCUUGCAUAACAGAUAUUCACAACUUGUAAUAGUUGCAAAAUUACAGUUAUGAUGUUGUAAAAAAAUAGUUUAUGGAUGGGGUGACCAUAAUAUUAGGAAUUGUACUGAAGGAUCACAGCAUUAGGAAGGUUGAAGCACUGUUCCACAUCAAUCUGUAAUAAAGGUAAUUUCUCUCUCACAGACAUGGUUACUGGGCAAUCUGACCUGAGCAAUCCAACAUCUGAGUCUCUCCAAAUGACUCUGGGCUAUGUUUAACCAAAA